GGAUGAAGUAAAUUUGCAGUGGAUUCAGUUUCUGCUUACUGUAAUGGCUCAGAAUCAUCUGAUGGACUGUCAGCUCUAUGAGUUUCACUACAUUAGUGAGGAAAAGACCUGGACUGAAGCUCAGCAGUACUGCAGAAAGAAACACACUGACCUGGUCACAGUGAUUAGUAUGACAGACAUGGAGAGACUCAAUAGUAAUUCACAAAGAGGCAUAAAGGAAGCUUGGAUUGGUCUCCGUGAUGAAACAAACGCACAGAGAUCAUGGCACUGGUCUCUGCCUGGAGUGGAGUUCAAUAAAAGUGAGACAAACUGGGAAACAAGUACAAAUGAACCAAAUAAUCUCGAAUCUGAAGGCCAAAACUGUGUGAUUAUAUGGAAAGAUUCCCCUCAUUUUCUCAAGUGGGGAGAUUUAUCCUGUAAUGAAAAGCAUAAUUUUAUCUGCUAUAGUG